rnacentral:rRNA from 1 species
GAUCCUGGCUCAGAUUGAACGCUGGCGGUAGGCUUAACACAUGCAAGUCGAGCGGAAACGAUUCUAGCUUGCUAGAAGGCGUCGAGCGGCGGACGGGUGAGUAAUGCGUGGGAAUCUACCCAGUAGUUGGGGAUAGCCCGGAGAAAUCCGGAUUAAUACCGAAUAAUCUCUACGGAGGAAAGUGGGCUUCGGCUCACGCUACAGGAUGAGCCUGCGUUGGAUUAGCUAGUUGGUGAGGUAAGAGCUCACCAAGGCGACGAUCCAUAGCUGGUCUGAGAGGAUGAUCAGCCACACUGGGACUGAGACACGGCCCAGACUCCUACGGGAGGCAGCAGUGGGGAAUAUUGGACAAUGGGGGCAACCCUGAUCCAGCCAUACCGCGUGUGUGAAGAAGGCCUUCGGGUUGUAAAGCACUUUCAGCGAGGAGGAAAGGUUGUUGGUUAAUACCCAUCAACUGUGACGUUACUCGCAGAAGAAGCACCGGCUAA